UCCCAGGUGGCUCAGACAGUAAAGAAUCUGCCUGCAGUGCAGGAGACCUGGGUUCCAUUCCUGGGCUGGGAA
rnacentral:tRNA from 1 species